rnacentral:lncRNA from 1 species
UAGUCCCUCUCUAUAAAUACUACCACACAACCGUUCCCUUGACUCGCAUUACAUUGUUUUCUAAAGCCACCUGUAGAUUGAACUCUUUGUUCAGCACCAAGAAGUGAGCAACAGAAGAGAGGAAAAGAAAUGUUUCAGAACAUUAUUGAUGCCAUCACUGAUUGUUGUACAGGGGACUGUAAAAAGAAGAUAAGAGGCACUGUUGUGCUGAUGAAGAAGAAUGUUCUGGACUUAACUGAUUUAAAUGCUUCGAUUCAUGAUCGUGUUCAUGAGUUUUUAGGCCAAGGAGUCUCUCUGCAACUCGUCAGUGCUGUUAACAGUGACCCUUCAGGUACAUACACCAUCUGUUCUUCUUCUAUCAUUUUGUUGCUUUUUCAUUACUUGAUGCCUUUUCAGCCCUAAAAGGCCAUUUUUCUUUGUUCUUUUUGGGUGGGAUAUGUUCUUUUUUCCUGGAUCGCUGUAUAGGAGAUUAAUUAAAAACACCUAGAAUUAUGGAACAAGGAAAAGAUAAAAAAAUAAAAAGCCAGAGGAGAGAGUAUAAGCCAUAUACCAGAAAGAAACCAACAAAAUUUGAUCCUAGCAGUAUCUAUCAUGUAGGCUGCAAAUCAUGACUCGUUUUGCCAUAAAAAUUACUAAAAUGCGAAACACACUAAUUUGUGAGCUGCCUGUAGUCUGGUGUUUAUACAAGUUCUGCUCCUUCAAGCACAAAAAAGGAAGUGAUGGACUGGUGAUUUAGUAUUGAUUAAUCAAAUUACUUGUCAUAAAUCAAUUAGCUCCUUAAAAACCAAACAGAUCAUGGACAUGAACUUGGUUCCUCGUAUCUGAUGAAAGCCUUUGUGGAUAUUCUCCUACUGAUUGGUAUUGGGUGGUCUCCUGGGGUGCUUGGUGGCCUAGUUGUUGAUAAGUCUUCUGGCUCCACAACCCCAUCUGACUUUGCGGUUUGAAAAAAAUGAUGUUUAAGGUUUUUUUUUUAAAAAUAAAUAAAUCAAAAUUUGAGUUUACAUGGGUAAACUUACCUGUACGUAACCUGGGGCUACCUUCCAUUUGUCUGAUUCAGCUGGAUGCACUAUGUUUUAGU